CUCGGUUCAAAACUGAACCGAAAAUGCAAGACUUGCUUUAAUUGUUUUCCUUCAAUUUCUGUUUUAUUUGCUAUUAUGGAACUCAUGUUAUUUACACUGUGCUAGAUCAAUACAUAUAAACACUGACAGAAAACAAUUAAAUUAAAGCAAUUCUUGCAUUUUCGGUUCAGUUUUGAACCGAG